ACGCCCUCGGGUUUUUAAUUAGAAUGAAUACAGAGACCAGCUUCGCAUAAUUAAAAUAUUUUUAAUACGGAAAAGGAGCUAAUUGACUUGAAGUAACUCGAAGAUUCAGGGCGAAACAAGCGAAGGAGUCACUAGUGAUCGUUAGUGGUGAGGCACGAAUCGUGAAGCUGUAGUAAGGUGAAUUGUGAGGUUAGGAAACGAGGCUCGUUCGUGUAACGCGAAUGCAGCAAAAAAAUCGAUUCUAUGAAGAAGUCUGCAUGAACAAUACAAUCAGAUAAUAUCAGGUAUUAUACUUGUGAUGUUUCUACGUGCAGUAGCCCAGCGCAAAUAUAUGCAAGUAAAUGUCGAAUCGCUUGGAAUAACUGGAAAUAUGAAACGAUAUUUCGUAUUAUUUGCGCGAAUUUAGUUUCAAAAUACACAUUUUAACGUUAAAUUCUGACGCUACGUGUUUUGCUUUGCUUAAAAUCGCGUUGCCAACACACUAAUUAUUAUUACAGCUGGAUGAUAUAUUUUUCAUCCGCUAUGUCGAAUUAUUGCAAUUAAAAACACGUGAAUUUCAUGUAGAGAACGCAACGUCCCAAUUUUGCAUCACCGAAAAAUUAUACCAAAUGUAAAUUGAAUGUUUGUAUGUGCAACGCAAUCCAACUAAACGAGAUAUUUCUAUACAGAUCCCGUGCAGAAAAUUGUUAGGGCCUAGUAUGAAAGUAAAGGCCCCUAUAAGGAAUAAAUAGGGAUGUCCUAAAAAGAGAUGCCCUAUCAUUGCCACAUCGUGGCCCGAUUAGAUAUUAUAUUUUUUAUUAUUUCCUUAUAAGGUCCCGAAAAAAUAUUUGUUACAUACCAUUCUAGGGCCAUAUUAAUAUUGAGGAAAAUUAAUCGGGUCCUACUUAGGACCCUAUACAUUUUUUUACACGGGAUGCGGCACGCUAGAUUACAUAGCGAAACAUGUAUGUGUAAUUACUUUCUGCCUAAGGCAAUGCGACAAUGUACGUGCAACUUGCAUUAUACGGUAUGUAAUACACAGAUCAAAUUGCGACGACAAUUGCGGUAUUGUUUGAACGAAUAAUAUUUAUAGUUAGGUGCGGUUAAUGCUUGCGUCUCGAGACGGUAUUUUCCGCUGUCUCUCGAUGGGUUUUCAAUUUAAUCGAGAUGAAGCCAAUCACGCGAAUCCAUUCAUACAGUUGCGCAUGUACGGAAUAUAUACAUAUGUAGAAACGAGAUAUACGAUCUGUAUAUGUUCGCGCGCGCGCGUGUGUGUGUAUAUGUACAUGCAUUCGUAUAUGCGACAAUCGCGGAAAUGCUGACCCUAUCGGUGGUACCGGUCGUAAUCUUAAAUUCGAACGUGUGCGUAGCACGUACUGUUUAUCUAUCGCUUUGCAAUCGGCAACGAUAAACAACGGUUUAUUUGGCGAUGUAUAUGUAUACACGAAUACAGAUUGUAUUAUACAUGCGCAAGAUUGCAAAGAGCGCAAUUAAUUCACUAGCAUUGUUCGUUAAAACAUAAUCAGCAAUGUUAAUAAUUUCGCCAACGGAUUUAAGUUUUUUAUUUAUAUUGUAUCUUAACGUUCACUCAAAUAUUUAUUUUGCAGACAAGACAUAAGUUCACGAUUCAUUUAAUUGUAUAAUAUAUGUAUAUUUGUAUGCGAAUUAUAAGUCUAGAGUAUACCAGUUUUACUAGUUUUAAGUUGAAAAUAUUCUAUAUGUUUUUCAGAGAACAAUACAAAUAUUUCGUACAAU